CCCUAGUAACUGCGAGUGAAGCGGGAAAAGCUCAAAUUUAAAAGCUGGCGGUCUURGGCUGUCCGCGUUGUAAUCUAGAGAAGCAUUAUCCGCGCUGGACCGUGUACAAGUCUCCUGGAAUGGAGCGUCAUAGAGGGUGAGAAUCCCGUCUUUGACACGGACUGCCAGGGCUUUGUGAUGUGCUCUCAAAGAGUCGAGUUGUUUGGGAAUGCAGCUCAAAAUGGGUGGUAAAUUCCAUCUAAAGCUAAAUAUUGGCGAGAGACCGAUAGCGAACAAGUACCGUGAGGGAAAGAUGAAAAGAACUUUGGAAAGAGAGUUAAACAGUACGUGAAAUUGCUGAAAGGGAAACGCUUGAAGUCAGUCGCGUUGGCCGGAAAUCAACCUUGCUUUUGCUGGGCGUACUUUCUGGUUGAUGGGCCAGCAUCAAUUUUGGCCACUGGAAAAAGACCAGGGGAAUGUGGCAUCUUCGGAUGUGUUAUAGCCCUUGGUCGCAUACAGUGGCUGGGAUUGAGGAACUCAGCACGCCGCAAGGCCGGGAUUUUAUCCACGUUCGUGCUUAGGAUGCUGGCAUAAUGGCUUUAAUCGACCCGUCUUGAAACACGGACCAAGGAGUCUAACAUGCCUGCGAGUGUUUGGGUGGAAAACCCGAGCGCGUAAUGAAAGUGAAAGUUGAGAUCCCUGUCGUGGGGAGCAUCGACGCCCGGACCAGAGCUUCUGUGACGGAUCUGCGGUAGAGCAUGUAUGUUGGGACCCGAAAGAUGGUGAACUAUGCCUGAAUAGGGUGAAGCCAGAGGAAACUCUGGUGGAGGCUCGUAGCGAUUCUGACGUGCAAAUCGAUCGUCAAAUUUGGGUAUAGGGGCGAAAGACUAAUCGAACCAUCUAGUAGCUGG
rnacentral:rRNA from 1 species